rnacentral:rRNA from 1 species
AUUGAACGCUGGCGGCAGGCCUAACACAUGCAAGUCGAACGAGUGGCGGACGGGUGAGUAAUGUCUGGGAAACUGCCCGAUGGAGGGGGAUAACUACUGGAAACGGUAGCUAAUACCGCAUACCAUCGGAUGUGCACAGAUGGGAUUAGCUUGUAGGUGAGGUAACGGCUCACCUAGGCGACGAUCCCUAGCUGGUCUGAGAGGCUGACCAGGCACUCUGGGACGGUGACACGGUCCAGACUCCUACGUGAGUCAGUAGUGGGGAAUAUUGCACACGGGGCUCAAUCUUGAUGCAGACAUGGCGCGUGUAUGAAGAAGGCCUUCUGGUUGUAAAGUACUUUCCGCGGGGAGGCGUUACCCGCAGAAGUAGCUCCGGCGAACUCCGUGCCAGCAGCCGCUGUAAGUC